rnacentral:rRNA from 1 species
CAAUAGCGUAUAUUAAAGUUGCUGCAGUUAAAAAGCUCGUAGUUGGACUUGUGGCCGUUCGCUGACGGCCCGGCACUCAGUGUCGGUCGCUCGUCGGCGGCGCCAUCCUUGGGUGGAGCCCGCGUGGCAUUAGGUUGUCGCGCGGGGGAUGCCCAUCGUUUACUGUGAAGAAAUUAGAGUGCUCAAAGCAGGCUUACGCCGCUGAAUACGUUAGCAUGGAAUAAUGAGAUAGGACCUCGGUACUAUUUUGUUGGUUUGCGCACCGGGGUAAUGAUUAAUAGGGACAGUUGGGGGCAUUCGUAUUCCAUUGUUAGAGGUGAAAUUCUUGGAUCUCUGGAAGACGAACUACUGCGAAAGCAUUUGCCAAGGAUGUUUUCAUUAA